AUGUCAAUGAAGAGUAUAACUUUAUCCUCUGAUUUCAUCCUCCUGGGGCUUCUGGUGAACAAUAAAGCUACAGGGAUUGUCUUUGCUGUUAUUUUUGCUAUUUUUGUGGUGGCUGUAACUGCAAAUUUGGUCAUGAUAUUCUUGAUUCAGGUGGACUCCCAUCUCCAUACUCCUAUGUAUUUCCUGCUUAGUCAGCUGUCCAUCAUGGACACCCUUUUCAUUUGUACACUGUCCCAAAACUUCUGGUCGACAUGUUUUCUAAAAAGAAGACCAUUUCCUUUGUAGGUUGUGGCAUCCAGAUCUUCCUCUACUUGACCAUGAUUGGCUCAGAGUUCUUCCUCUUGGGCCUCAUGGCCUAUGACCGUUAUGUGGCUGUCUGUAACCCUCUUAGGUAUCCAGUCCUGAUGAACCGCAGGGUGUGUCUCCUGCUGGCUGCUGGUUCCUGGUUUGGUGGGUUCUUGGAUGGCUUUCUGCUCACCCCCAUCAUCAUGAAUGUCCCCUACUGUGGCUCCCAAAGUAUCAACCAUUUUUUCUGUGAGAUCCCUGCAGUUCUCAGACUAGCCUGUGCUGACACAUCCUUGUAUGAAACCCUAAUGUACAUCUGCUGUGUACUCAUGUUGCUCAUCCCUAUCUCUAUCAUCUCAACCUCCUAUUCUCUCAUCUUGUUAACUGUCCACCGAAUGCACUCUGCUGAAGGCCGGAAGAAAGCCUUUACCACUUGUUCUUCCCACUUGACUGUAGUCAGCAUUUUCUAUGGGGCUGCCUUCUACACUUAUGUUCUGCCCCAGUCUUUUCACACUCCUGAGCAGGACAAGGUAGUGUCAGCCUUCUAUACCAUUGUCACACCCAUGCUCAAUCCUCUUAUCUACAGCCUCAGAAACAAGGAUGUCAUGGGGGCAUUUAAAAAGGUAUUUUCACAAUACUCAUCUGCUCAAAAGGUAUCCACAAGUGAUGCUUAA